rnacentral:rRNA from 1 species
CCUACGGGAGGCUGCAGUGAGGAAUAUUGGUCAAUGGACGAGAGUCUGAACCAGCCAAGUAGCGUGAAGGAUGACUGCCCUAUGGGUUGUAAACUUCUUUUAUAUGGGAAUAAAAUGUUCCACGUGUGGGAUUUUGUAUGUACCAUAUGAAUAAGGAUCGGCUAACUCCGUGCCAGCAGCCGCGGUAAUACGGAGGAUCCGAGCGUUAUCCGGAUUUAUUGGGUUUAACGGGAGCGUAGGUGGAUUGUUAAGUCAGUUGUGAAAGUUUGCGGCUCAACCGUAAAAUUGCAGUUGAAACUGGCAGUCUUGAGUACAGUAGAGGUGGGCGGAAUUCGUGGUGUAGCGGUGAAAUGCUUAGAUAUCACGAAGAACUCCGAUUGCGAAGGCAGUUCACUGGACUGCAACUGACACUGAGGCUCGAAAGUGUGGGUAUCAAACAGGAUUAGAUACCCGAGUAGUC